AUUGAACGCUGGCGGCAGGCUUAACACAUGCAAGUCGCACGAGUGGCGGACGGGUGAGUAAUGCUUGGGAAUCUAGCUUCUGGAGGGGGAUAACUACGGGAAACUGUAGCUAAUACCGCGUACCAUAGGAUGAGCCCAAGUGGGAUUAGGUAGUUGGUGAGGUAAAGGUUCACCAAGCCGACGAUCGCGAGCUGGUCUGAGAGGAUGACCUGCCACACUGGGACUUAGACACGGCCCAGACGCCGACGGGAGGCAGAAGUGGGGAAUAUUGCGCAAUGGGGGCAACCUGACGCAGCCAUGCCGCGUGAAUGAAGAAGGCCUUCCGGUUGUAAAGUUCUUUCGGUAGCGAGGCGUUAACUACAGAAGAAGCACCGGCUAACUCCGUGCCAGCAGCCGCGGUAAUUC
rnacentral:rRNA from 1 species